UAGGGAAUCUUCGGCAAUGGGGGGAACCCUGNCCGAGCAACGCCGCGUGAGUGAAGAAGGUUUUCGGAUCGUAAAGCUCUGUUGUUAAGGAAGAACGUGUGUGAGAGUGGAAAGUUCACACAGUGACGGUACUUAACCAGAAAGGGACGGCUAACUACGUGCCAGCAGCCGCGGUAAUACGUAGGUCCCGAGCGUUGUCCGGAUUUAUUGGGCGUAAAGCGAGCGCAGGCGGUUAGAUAAGUCUGAAGUGAAAGGCAGUGGCUCAACCAUUGUAGGCUUUGGAAACUGUUUAACUUGAGUGCAGAAGGGGAGAGUGGAAUUCCAUGUGUAGCGGUGAAAUGCGUAGAUAUAUGGAGGAACACCGGUGGCGAAAGCGGCUCUCUGGUCUGUAACUGACGCUGAGGCUCGAAAGCGUGGGGAGCGAACAGGAUUAGAUACCCUGGUAGUCCACGCCGUAAACGAUGAGUGCUAGGUGUUAGGUCCUUUCCGGGACUUAGUGCCGCAGCUAACGCAUUAAGCACUCCGCCUGGGGCNGUANGACCGCAAGGUUG
rnacentral:rRNA from 1 species